GCCACCGUAGCUCAAUUGGCAGAGCACCAUACUUGUAAUAUGGAUGUUAACGGUUCAAUUCCGUUCGGUGGCU
rnacentral:tRNA from 1 species